rnacentral:rRNA from 1 species
GACGAACGCUGGCGGCGUGCUUAACACAUGCAAGUCGAACGGUGAUGCUCCAGCUUGCUGGGGUGGAUCAGUGGCGAACGGGUGAGUAACACGUGAGCAACCUGCCCCAGACUCUGGGAUAAGCUCUGGAAACGGCGUCUAAUACUGGAUACGAGACUGGCCCGCAUGGUCAUGGUUUGGAAGGUUUUGCGGUUUGGGAUGGGCUCGCGGCCUAUCAGCUUGUUGGUGGGGUAAUGGCUCACCAAGGCGUCGACGGGUAGCCGGCCUGAGAGGGUGACCGGCCACACUGGGACUGAGACACGGCCCAGACUCCUAAGGGAGGCAGCAGUGGGGAAUAUUGCACAAUGGGCGAAAGCCUGAUGCAGCGACGCCGCGUGAGGGAUGACGGCCUUCGGGUUGUAAACCUCUUUCAGCAGGGAAGAAGCGAAAGUGACGGUACCUGCAGAAGAAGCACCGGCUAACUACGUG